GAUGAACGCUGGCGGCGUGCCUAAUACAUGCAAGUCAAGCGAACAGACGAGGAGCUUGCUCCUCUGACGUUAGCGGCGGACGGGUGAGUAACACGUGGAUAACCAACCUAUAAGACUGGGAUAACUUCGGGAAACCGGAGCUAAUACCGGAUAAUAUAUUAAACCGCAUGGUUCAAUAGUGAAAGGCGGUUUUGCUGUCACUUAUAGAUGGAUCCGCGCCGCAUUAGCUAGUUGGUAAGGUAACGGCUUACCAAGGCAACGAUGCGUAGCCGACCUGAGAGGGUGAUCGGCCACACUGGAACUGAGACACGGUCCAGACUCCUACGGGAGGCAGCAGUAGGGAAUCUUCCGCGAUGGGCGAAAGCCUGACGGAGCAACGCCGCGUGAGUGAUGAAGGUCUUCGGAUCGUAAAACUCUGUUAUUAGGGAAGAACAAAUGUGUAAGUAACUAUGCACGUCUUGACGGUACCUAAUCAGAAAGCCACGGCUAACUACGUG
rnacentral:rRNA from 1 species